rnacentral:tRNA from 1 species
AGGGGUAUAUCUUGGUGGCAGAGCACGUGCUUAACAUGCAUGAGAUCCUGGGUUCAAUCCCCAGCACCUCCA